GCCUUUCGCUUACACCGAAAAAAUACCUGUAUAAUCAGAUUGUUUUGA
rnacentral:tRNA from 2 species